rnacentral:rRNA from 1 species
GUGGGGAAUAUUGGGCAAUGGGCGAAAGCCUGACCCAGCAACGCCGCGUGAGGGAAGAAGGUUUUCGGAUUGUAAACCUCUGUCGCAGAAGACGAAGGAAGUGACGGUAUUCUGUGAGGAAGCCCCGGCUAACUACGUGCCAGCAGCCGCGGUAAUACGUAGGGGGCGAGCGUUGUCCGGAAUUACUGGGCGUAAAGGGUGCGUAGGCGGUUAAUUAAGUUGGAUGUGAAAUUCCCGGGCUUAACUUGGGAGCUGCAUUCAAAACUGGUUAACUAGAGUUCAGGAGAGGGAAGCGGAAUUCCUAGUGUAGCGGUGAAAUGCGUAGAUAUUAGGAGGAACACCGGUGGCGAAGGCGGCUUUCUGGACUGACACUGACGCUGAGGCACGAAAGCGUGGGGAGCAAACAGGA